UUUUGACCGUGCAAAGGUAGCGUAAUCACUUGUCUUUUAAAUAGAGACCUGUAUGAAUGGCUAAACGAGGGCUUAACUGUCUCCCCUUUCAAGUCAGUGAAAUUGAUUUACCCGUGCAGAAGCGGGUAUAAUAAUACAAGACGAGAAGACCCUUUGGAGCUUAAGGUACAAAAAUCAACCACGUCAAGCAACUAAAUGAAAAGCAAAAACUUUAUGGAAUGUGAUACUUUACCUUCGGUUGGGGCGACCACGGAGGAAAAAAGAUCCUCCGAGUGGACCGGGACAAACCUCCUAAAACCAAGAGAAACACCUCUAAGCCACAGAACAUCUGACCAAACAUGAUCCGGCCAAAAAGCCGAUCAACGAACCAAGUUACCCUAGGGAUAACAGCGCAAUCCUCUCCCAGAGUCCAUAUCGACGAAGGG
rnacentral:rRNA from 1 species